rnacentral:rRNA from 1 species
GAUGAACGCUAGCGGCAGGCCUAAUACAUGCAAGUCGAACGAUACCAGAGAUCUUGCUUUCUGGGAAAGUGGCGAACGGGUGCGUAACGCGUAUGCAACCUACCUUAAUCAGGGGGAUAGCCUCUCGAAAGAGAGAUUAACACCGCAUAAAAUCACACUUCGGCAUGGAAGAAUGAUCAUAUCUGUAUAGGAUUAAGAUGGGCAUGCGUGACAUUAGCUGGUUGGUGGGGUAACGGCUAACAAAGGCGACGAUGACUAGGGGGUUUGAGAGGAUGACCCCCCACACUGGUACUGAGAGACGGACCAGAAUCCUACGGGAGGCAGCAGUAAGGAAUAUUGGUCAAUGGAGGCAACUCUGAACCAGCCAUGCCGCGUGCAGGAAGACGGCCCUAUGGGUUGUAAACUGCUUUUAUACGGGAAUAAACCUCUCUACGUGUAGAGAGUUGAAUGUACUGUAAGAAUAAGGAUCGGCUAACUCCGUGCCAGCCGCCGCGGUAAGAC